CUGAAGGGUAAUUUUGAUUCCUAAUCUCAACAAGAACAGCACUUAUGAUUGGUAUGCAAGCUUCAGCUGCCAGUGUGAAGUCCUGAAUAGUGCUUUUACUUCCAGACCAAUCAUAUGAAAUGGAGAUGGAAGGUACAUCAUUAAAGAAGGCCUCCCGAGCACCGGCAACAGUACCAGAAUAAACAAUGUGAUAGCCGCAGUUGCUCCCCAUAUUUAUGCCACUGAUAACCAGAUCAGGAAUUGACGGAAAUAAUGCUUUGGAGACUCCUAAAGAAGCACAAUCAGCUGGAGUGCCAGAAACUGCAAAGGCUGUUGCUCCAUCAAUGCCUACUCGCCGAGCUGAAAUAGGAUGACGCCAAGUAAUGCAAUGACUGACACCGGAUUUUUCCGAAUCAGGGGCGCAAACCAGGACGUGGAAGCGAUCAGUGGAGAUGAGGACGCGAACCAGAGAACGGAGUCCUGGUGCGUCAAUACCGUCGUCGUU
rnacentral:misc_RNA from 1 species